GUUUUGUGCCUUUUAUGAACCUUUGCAUGCAGUGCAAUCGUUCCAGUCUUCUAUUGCUGUUUUGUUUCCUUGAGAUUUUAUACAACACAGUUACAAUGCUUGUAUGAUAAAAGGAAUUUUGGAAAAGAUCUUCUUGCUGACUGGAGGAGAAGAAUCAAGGGAGAGGGCUUUCUGUUUUUCCGAGACAAAGCUAUUCGUAACGGUCUCUCUCUCUGCCUUUCUCUAAUAUUUUCUUCCUAGUUUCAAGCUGGAGAGAUUUUAUGAAGGGUGGAAAGAAGGGUGGUCAGAUUACGUAGAAUGCGUGAAGUGAAUCAAGAAGUUGUCCAAAAACAAGGCUUUUGUUAAAUAAGAUUACGUAGAAUGUGUAUUUUGUUAAAUAAGAUUUCAUUUUGUGUAUGCAAAUGUAAAAGACAAAUAUUAAAGUUUCUAAAUAAUAUUAAUUUUAUUGA